UAUUCGAGCUGACGAUGAUGAUGACGGUGAUGACGAUGUUGUGCUGCACUGCCCCUGUGUGCAAGCGAUGGCGUCGUCGUCAUCGUCGUCGUCGUCGUCGUCG
rnacentral:pre_miRNA from 1 species